rnacentral:rRNA from 1 species
CGUCCGGCGACCGGCGCACGGUGAGUAACACGUAUGCAAUCCACCUGUAACAGGGGGAUAACCCGGAGAAAUUGGUACUAAUACCCCAUAAUAUCAUAGAAGGCAUCUUUUAUGGUUGAAAAUUCCGAUGGUUAGAGAUGGGCAUGCGUUGUAUUAGCUAGUUGGUGGGGUAACGGCUCACCAAGGCGACGAUACAUAGGGGGACUGAGAGGUUAACCCCCCACACCGGUACUGAGACACGGACCAG